rnacentral:rRNA from 1 species
AUGGCGGAGUCACAGUCCCUGGACGCGUUCGCCGGGAGGCUUGGUGGCAUGGCGGCGCGCUACGCGGCGCUGGGCUCGACCCUGGAGGACGCGGCGCUUGUCAAGAAGCUGCUCGACUCGGUGCCGAACCGUUUGUACGCGGCGGUGGCAGGGAUCGAGCAGUUCUGCGACGUCGGCACGAUGCUGUUCGAGGACGCGUUGGGGCGGCUGAAGGCAUUUGACGAGCGGCUGCGGCGACGCGAUCAGGCAGGCGGCGAGGGCGCGGACGGGCAGCUGCUGUACACCGCGGCACAGUGGCGUGCGCGCGAGCGGCGUCGGAGCGGUGCACGCGGAGACGACGACGACGACGUGCGCAGCGAGGCGUCGCGCUUCGGCGGGAACCGGCGCGGUCGCUGCUACAAGUGCGGCGAACGGGGGCAUUUCAAGCGCGAGUGCCCGCAGCUCAAGAAGGCGCCGGCGGCGGAGCGAGCCCUGCUCGUGGACGAUGUCGAGGACGCCGGGCUGCUCUGA